UUUGCCGAUGAAGUUUAACUGAGGCAAACCGGCUAUGCCAUGCUGACGAGUAAUUGACUGUGCUAGCGUCCCGUCUUGGCCCGACUGGUGCCAAUGUGUGUAUGCUAGUGUGCUUUUAAAGUCCAUUUCAAGGGCAUCAAAGGUGACAGAAUCACAAGCUUUUAUCUAGGCUAUGGAGACCUUUCUGGUCGCAAUACAGCAUGGGAUGCACCUCAGGUUGAUUUAUGCCCUUUGCCCAGAACCUUGCAGGUUGUGACUGUAGUUCUAGUUGUCACCUUUCCCUCUCACGAUGCUUGGAGCUAAAAGAGUGAAACUUGUCGAUGAAGGUUCAGAGAUCUAAGGUACGGGAUAUUAUUAGUCAGACGUUUAAACUCGUCUUUGCAAAAUAUUGCGGUGAAAAUUGCGGGCAUUUACGCUUAAAGAUUUGCAACGGGUGUAAGAAGUCAAAGUCAGCGCGACUGUGUGAUAAUGGAGAGCGAAACUGUGUGGUCCGAGUAUUACGAGAAAGUGAAAGAACUCGGCAAUUUUUCUGACCCACAAAUGCAUAAAUUUAUAGUCUUAACCACGGGCGAGAAAUUCCGCUUUCCCGAGGACUACUACAUGGCAGACUUGCAAAUAGCAUGUAUUUUUUUCCCAAGAAGAAAAGGAACUCGAAGAAAGAGGCCAAGCUCUAUAGGCUAAUGUUUGUAUACAUAUAAUAAGAGGAAAUAAAGACAUUGUGGCCACAUUUUUGUAUUUCAUUAAAACUCGAUAGCAUCUACUGUUUCUUCUUUGUACCGCCUUUUAUUUCAACCCUCCCCUAAAUUGUGGGGAAAGUGGAAUUUUUACCGAUCGAAGUCUAUACCGACGCUGUUUAAGCUUUUUCACGAGUGGCCCCUCUACCCUAUGAGCGUCGUCGUCUAGCGUGUGUGUGUGUUUUUUUUAAGUUAUUAUGUUUCUCUUGGCUUAUGGGUUCGUCAGGUGUAAAGUCUGGCAUUACAAACAAAGGUUCCGUUGUCGGUUUCUCGGGGGGGAUAGAAAGGGUGGAUAGAGAGUCAACCCUGGCCACUCUUCCUCCUCCUCACUCCUCCUUCUCACUCCACCCCCUUCUCCUCCUUCUCACUCCUCCUCCUCCUUAGGCUCUAUUUCCAGCUGACGUCAGGCGUUGCGGUUCUACGAUCCUCCGCCCCAGAGGGCUCACAGAAACGACUGGUAAUCGAGCUUAGCUGGGAAAAGGAUAAUAAAUUAUUUGUAUUCACUUAUCGGCUUUAAAUGCAUGCCAAUGAAUAGUUAACUGCAAGUAGACCAUUAAAAAUAUUCCUAAAAAGCACAGUCCUAUAUCAUUAUCAUCACCAUGAAGCUGAUAAUCAAUAAAUCCAAGUAAAAUUUGCAUUUACACUCCCAAUCAAAGCUUUAUCCUGGUUGAAGCAGGUGCCCUCAAAAGCGUACAUGCCCUGCAAUAUGAAAAAAAUAAAGACAUGUGUUAUAAUCAGCUUCAAACUACGGGCACCGCAUUAAUACGGACACCCCGCUAUUAUAUGGGCAGUCAAUUGCAACCCGCUUUAACGGACACUGUUGAGAACGAAAAAUGACCGCUUUUAGACUGGACUUUUUCUUGCAACGGAACUUUUUCUUUCACACAACAUACACAAAUGUUUAAAACAAAAGAUAAUGAAGGACCUACGCGGAUGCAACGACCUACGAUGCAACGGGCGCAUCCAACACAGGACUUAGUUGGGCGAGCCAACACGUGACUUGAUAAGACUAAAACAAUAGUAUACCCUAUUGGUUUAGUACCUUUGAUAGACUAACAUAUGGUAUUCCCUUUGUAGCAUGUAGCGUCACGGUAUCUGGUGGAAGGACAAAUAAUAAAGAGGAAUGUGAAUGUAAGAAUAAAAGGUAAUACGAAGAUUUGAUGGGAAAAUGUGAGUUUUUUUUAUUAUAUUUUGUUUUUUUUAGAUCAUUCUGAAAUGAUUUCUAUCACGAGCAUGAAGAUAAAGACAUCUUCGUUAUUAGCAGCUAAUACCCCCUUAAAUCGAACCCUGGCCUACUGGAAGUGAGUUUUCCCUCUUCAGAGUUAGCUGUAUAUUUUUCUCCCUCCAGGCUUGUAGAGCUCUAUAUUUAAAACGUUUCUAAUGAAUAUUCUCUUUGUCAGCCUAGAGUGUGAUUGUCGGUUCUAUUAUUGUUAUAUGGUUACAAUCACAUUUUCAAGAGUUACGUUGAAGAAAAUCCCAUAUUCAGUCGUUUCAAGAAAAUUUUUUAUCCAAAACAGUAGUACUGGAAGUAUAGACGCUUUAGAACACAAGCGCCUUAUUUGUCUGUAUCCAGGAACAGCAGUCAAUGUCGCUGGCUAAAUUAGUUUACAAACUUUUAGCUUUUGAGCAUUUGACUUGUGCAAAAUGGCCCUGACGGAAAUCUACAGAGCAUCCUGAUACGCGUGUCAAUGUCACUGGCUAAAUUAGUCUACAAACUUGAAAGAUUUACCUCCUUUGAGGAUUGGACAUUUGACAUGUGCAAAAUGUCUCUGGCAGACAUCUGCAGAGUAUCCUGAAAACAGUAUUAUCCCAUCAAGAACAAGCUUCCAUUCACAUUGCAUCGCAAGAAUGUCGACGCCUGAAAGGGAAAAGGGAAAAGGCCACUCCACCGCGUCCUGUAGUUUUCAAAAAUAUCGGGCCAAAUAGCGAAAUUCGGGUUUUCUCGCAGAAUAAGUAGGCUAAAGCCGAAAGGAGGUACCAUCUCUUAAUUGAUACCGUGGUGCCACCAUAUAAAAAACACCACUAGGAGGGCAAAAUGUGCCUGUUAUAAGCAAGUUGCUGCAUCUUUUACUCGUAAGCGUCAGUCAAUAAAACAUGCAGUUACUUCCUUUAAAGCCAAUGUCUUAAAAACCUGGACCAACAACGGAUUAAUCUUCCUACACCAUAAUAAAACAAGUAUGGAUUUUUUUUAUCCCUUAUUUUAUGUUUACAUCGCAGUUUUAGUUUGAGGUCCAGGUCCACGUCCAGGGGCGUGUUUCGUAUUUUUAACAAAAGGCGAAUAUAAUCUGUAUGAACCACGAAGAGUUUGCGAGAACUCAGUGCAAACAAACUGAACGCACUGAUGAAGAACUAGAGUUACCAUAACAUAAAUGAAUUUCAUCUCACUCCUGGCAGCUGCUAAAAACAUGUAUAAAGUUUUACUCAAUUUACAAAGAAAAAGAAGCGAAUAACAGACUGACAGGAAAUAGUCUAGGCUGUGUUAAAGACUUUUAAGUAUUCGAAAGAAAACUUAUCAAUGCAAAACUUUAUAAUCUUUUCACUAUUUCUCUUUUGGCAUAAGAAAGAAACAUAUUCAAGGCAAAUUGGGCAUGUCAUUGGCUAGUUUACGCUAUCCGGUGGUGGUUUCGCUGUGCUGUAAAAAGCCUAGUUCUAGCCAUAAGAUAGUUUUUUUAAAUACCUUGGGAUCUCUUUUUUUGCACGACUGAGUUAACCAAAGAGCCCACCAAAACUGUCUACGGAAACCAAAAGUCUUGGGGCUAACCAUAAGUUAACUUUGAAUAAAAAUAAAAAGCACGUAUUUUUUAAUCUCGGAUACUUUUUGGCAGGAUGCUUGUGGGAAAAUCUAAACAUAAUAGCAUUCAUUUAUCUCAAUCCCCGGUUGUUUCUGUUUCUGUUUCCAAAACCAAGGAGUGAAUGUCACUGUUUACGUGGAUGCCAUAAUUAUAUUGAAAGCUUCACCUGAAUACCCCACUGUUAUAUUGAAUUUACCUGAAUGUGACUUUUAUAUAGACAGCUUUACGUGGACUAAAGUCAACGUCAUACUCACCCCUGUACAUUCAGUGAAUAUCACUGUUAUUUUGAGUGUUUUACAUCGAGUGAAUGUCACUGUUAUAUUGAGUGUUUUACAUCGAGUGAAUGUCACUGUUAUAUUGACCGAUUUACCUUGAGUAAAUAUCGCUAUCAGAAUGACUGCUUUAUCUUGAGUGGGUGUCACUAUUUUAAUAUUUAAUAUUUACUGCUUUACCUAGAGUGAAUGUCGCUGUUAUGUUAACUGCUUUUCCGAAGGAGAUAUGCCGAGGAACGACAGAAGCCUUGAAUGUUGAGUGAUCGAAGUUUCCUGAGGGAAAUAAUUAACAAUUAUUCGACGAAGGCGAAGUGAAUUGCGGUGGAUAUCUGACUAUAUGAAACAUUCUCAGCCCUUCAUAUUAUGUUCCCUACCACAUAUCCGCCAGGUCUGGUUUGUUAAAUGGGGGUUCAACGCCGGCGGUGGGAUACUGAAACAGAGGGGAGGUGUGACAUGGUGGCGCUGGUGAUGAGGUUGAGUGACAGCCAAUGCUACUGUCACAAAAAACACCAUGUAACGCAACAUCUGUGUGGCCUACAUAACAAUCAAAAUUAAAAUGAGAGUCACAAAAGAGACAAAUUUGUUUGCGGAAAAAACAUAAGCAAUGCACUGUUUACAUAUCCAGGACCAUUUCAUGUGCACGUUGGCUACACAUUUUCUUCUCAACGGCGAGUAAGCCUGCUGCAGGCGUUUACCCGGUGUCAUAUCUGUCAACCCAACUUGGAUAGAAAUAUUACGGUGGAAAUUAAAACAAUAUCACCUUGAAAAAAGAAAAGAGCAGGCAGUGUUCUAGCCAUGUUGCCAACUGGAAAAGAAGUACAAGUGCAAAGAAUUAGUUUCUGUGCUUAUCGUUGCUCUGUUGAAGAGCAUAAUCGACGACCAGAUAGCGAUGAUGGAAAAAAAUGGAUUUGCCGCCAUCGAGUUAUUGCAAAGCAAUAUGGACCAGGUUUUCAAAACCCUCUGGGUUAACGCACUACUUAUCUGACAAAACCUAGUGCACAGAAGUCUAGGGAGCAACAUCUUCACCUCUCCCUGUACUCUCCGGUGUACCUCAAGGCAGUCUACUUGGUCCUCUACUCUCCCUCGUAUAAAUCAAUAACUUACCGGCCCUUUUAGGCCCUGGUACCUCACUUAGUCUUUUUGCAAACGACACCAAAUUCUACCUUACUAUCAGCUCUCCCUCUGACGCUGUCAAACUGCAGAGUGAUCUUGACGUUCUAUCAGAGUGGAACCGAGCGUGGAAGCUGCGCUAACAUCGACAAGUGUGAGGUCUUGCGGGUGACUCACAAGCGCAGCCCCAUCGAAACGAAUUAUGCGAUCGAUGGCCACGUGCUGAUUCCGGCUCAGAAAGACCGAGAAGUGGUGGUAACCAGGGACCUCAAGUGGUCCGAGCAGUCCAAGGGAUACCGAAUGCUGGGGUUCCUACGACGGAACGGUCUACGUGACUUCGACACAGUCGCUAGAAGGUCUCUAUAUCUGUCAAUUGUUAGACGAACAGUGGUACACGCGUUCGAGGUGUGGGCACCUCAAGUAAUUACGGACAUGAGAUCGGUGGAGGCUCUCCAACGCCGUGCGACAAAAGUAAUACUAACAAAUCAGGAACGCUUGAAACAGGCCAACUUGCUACCACUCUCCUGCUUGCAUGAAAUUAAGAAUCUUGUUUUUAUGUAUAAAUGCCUAAGUGGAUAUUCCGUUCUUUAAACCAUUGCCAUCAGUAAGAUCGUCCCGCCACAGGAGCAACCUUGAUAUAGCCACCCCCUCCGUAAAACUAAGCUUUUUGCAAAAUUCAUUUUUCAAUCGAAUUCCAAAGGUGUGGAAUAAACUCCCUGUAGAUAUA